GACGAACGCUGGCGGCGUGCCUAAUACAUGCAAGUCGAACGCAGUGGGGACGGGUGAGUAACACGUGGGUAACCUCCCAUCAGAGGGGAUAACACUUGGAAACAGGGGUAAAACCGCAACUGAUGGUUGUACCGGCGGGGCAGUGGCUAGUUGGUGAGGGAACGGCUAACCAAGACCACGAUGCAGAGCUGACCUGAGAGGGUGAUCGGCCACACUGGGACUGAGACACGGCCCAGACUCCUACGUGAGGCAGCAGUAGGGAAUCUUCGGCAAUGGACUAAAGUCUGACCGAGCAACGCCGCGGGAGUGAAGAAGGUUUGCGGAUCGUAAAACUCUGUUGUUAGAGAAGCGGUAUCUAACCAGAAAGCCACGGCUAACUACGUGCCAGCAGCCGCGGUAAUAC
rnacentral:rRNA from 1 species